CCUCAGCAGCCUGAUGAAAUGGAUCUGAGGUUGAAUUUUAUAUUUAGAAUUGACUAUUUUUACCCGAAAAGGUUACAGAUGAUGUAAUAUUUGAUAGAUUAAGGCCCAAUAAGUAUUUGUUCCAAUUUUUGCCUUUGGCAUAACUUAAGCAUGCAAAUUUGCGCCAGAUAUUUUUCCUUAUUUUAUCAUAUUUGUUUUUGGAUAAAAAAAAAAAAAAAAA
rnacentral:misc_RNA from 1 species